GCUCGUGGAUCGAUGAAGACCGCAGCUAAAUGCGCGUCAGAAUGUGAACUGCAGGACAGGACACCGACAAGUUGAACGCAUAUUGCACAUCGUACAACAGUACGAUGUACACAUUUAACUGUGCCCGCCCGUUCCCCCCGGGUGGGUACGCAUCAUGGUGUUUUGCUGCCUUCGGUGGCUUGGCAAAACACUUAAGACUCUCCAGUCCCAAAGGGGACACGACGGACGACCCCUGCGGUCGCCGGCCCUCGGACGCAAGAUACAUCCCACGAAUUCACCAAUCUGGCUUGGGCGCGAUGUACAUCUCGAUCACGACCACACAGUGGGGCCCGGCGGCAGUAGCGUCCAUCUCAUGUAGACCUCAAAUAAUGUGUGACU
rnacentral:rRNA from 1 species